rnacentral:pre_miRNA from 1 species
AUGUCCCCAUGAGUUCCCUUUAACGCUUCAUUGUCAAUACACAAAAAUCAUUUAUUUGAUCGAUUUAUGUAUUAACACUGAAGUGUUUGGGGGGACUCUUGGUGCCAU